UACAGAGGGGGCAAGCGUUGUUCGGAAUUACUGGGCGUAAAGGGCGCGUAGGCGGCCGCCUAAGUCAGACGUGAAAUCCCUCGGCUCAACCGGGGAACUGCGUCUGAUACUGGGUGGCUUGAAUCCGGGAGAGGGAUGCGGAAUUCCAGGUGUAGCGGUGAAAUGCGUAGAUAUCUGGAGGAACACCGGUGGCGAAGGCGGCAUCCUGGACUGGUCCUGACACUCAGGAGCGAAAGCGUGGGGAGCGAUCCGG
rnacentral:rRNA from 1 species